rnacentral:rRNA from 1 species
CAGAUUGAACGCUGGCGGCAGGCCUAACACAUGCAAGUCGAGCGGUAGCACAGGAGAGCUUGCUCUCUGGGUGACGAGCGGCGGACGGGUGAGUAAUGUCUGGGAAACUGCCUGAUGGAGGGGGAUAACUACUGGAAACGGUAGCUAAUACCGCAUAACGUCUUCGGACCAAAGUGGGGGACCUUCGGGCCUCACGCCAUCAGAUGUGCCCAGAUGGGAUUAGCUAGUAGGUGGGGUAAUGGCUCACCUAGGCGACGAUCCCUAGCUGGUCUGAGAGGAUGACCAGCCACACUGGAACUGAGACACGGUCCAGACUCCUACGGGAGGCAGCAGUGGGGAAUAUUGCACAAUGGGCGCAAGCCUGAUGCAGCCAUGCCGCGUGUGUGAAGAAGGCCUUCGGGUUGUAAAGCACUUUCAGCGAGGAGGAAGGGUUCAGUGUUAAUAGCACUGUGCAUUGACGUUACUCGCAGAAGAAGCACCGGCUAACUCCGUGCCAGCAGCCGCGGUAAUACGGAGGGUGCAAGCGUUAAUCGGAAUUACUGGGCGUAAAGCGCACGCAGGCGGUUUGUUAAGUCAGAUGUGAAAUCCCCGCGCUUAACGUGGGAACUGCAUUUGAAACUGGCAAGCUAGAGUCUUGUAGAGGGGGGUAGAAUUCCAGGUGUAGCGGUGAAAUGCGUAGAGAUCUGGAGGAAUACCGGUGGCGAAGGCGGCCCCCUGGACAAAGACUGACGCUCAGGUGCGAAAGCGUGGGGAGCAAAACAGGAUUAGAUACCCUGGUAGUCCACGCUGUAAACGAUGUCGACUUGGAGGUUGUGCCCUUGAGGCGUGGCUUCCGGAGCUAACGCGUUAAGUCGACCGCCUGGGGAGUACGGCCGCAAGGUUAAAACUCAAAUGAAUUGACGGGGGCCCGCACAAGCGGUGGAGCAUGUGGUUUAAUUCGAUGCAACGCGAAGAACCUUACCUACUCUUGACAUCCACAGAAUUCGCUAGAGAUAGCUUAGUGCCUUCGGGAACUCUGAGACAGGUGCUGCAUGGCUGUCGUCAGCUCGUGUUGUGAAAUGUUGGGUUAAGUCCCGCAACGAGCGCAACCCUUAUCCUUUGUUGCCAGCACGUAAUGGUGGGAACUCAAAGGAGACUGCCGGUGAUAAACCGGAGGAAGGUGGGGAUGACGUCAAGUCAUCAUGGCCCUUACGAGUAGGGCUACACACGUGCUACAAUGGCGUAUACAAAGAGAAGCGAACUCGCGAGAGCCAGCGGACCUCAUAAAGUACGUCGUAGUCCGGAUCGGAGUCUGCAACUCGACUCCGUGAAGUCGGAAUCGCUAGUAAUCGUAGAUCAGAAUGCUACGGUGAAUACGUUCCCGGGCCUUGUACACACCGCCCGUCACACCAUGGGAGUGGGUUGCAAAAGAAGUAGGUAGCUUAACCUUCGGGAGGGCGCUUACCACUUUGUGAUUCAUGACUGGGGUGAAGUCGUAACAAGGUAACCGUAGGG